CUUCAACGAGCCCAGCCACAGGGGCUGUUCCUCCGGCCGGUCCUGGCCGUAGGCGGCGAUCAGGGCCUGGGCCUC
rnacentral:antisense_RNA from 1 species